GGAUAACCAUGGUAAUUCUAGGGCUAAUACAUGUUUGAAUUUUUUAGAGAUUUUCUUAUUAGAAUAAAACCAAUAAUACCAAUUUUUAGGAGUAAAAUAAUCGAUUGUCGCAGCUUCGUAGCGAUAAUCCUUUCAAGUUUCUGCCCUAUCAGCUUUCGAUGGUAGUGUAUUGGACUACCAUGGCAGUAACGGGUAACGAAGAAUUUGGGUUCGAUUUCGGAGAGGGAGCCUGAGAGAUGGCUACCACAUCCAAGGAAGGCAGCAGGCGCGCAAAUACCCCAAUCCUGACACAGGGAGGUAGUGACAAUAAAUCACAAUGCG
rnacentral:rRNA from 1 species